AAUGGGCGAAAGCCUGACGGAGCAAGACCGCGUGGGGGAAGAAGGCUCUUGGGUUGUAAACCCCUUUUCUCUGGGAAGAAAGUUGUGAAAGCAACCUGACGGUACCAGAGGAAUCAGCAUCGGCUAACUCCGUGCCAGCAGCCGCGGUAAGACGGAGGAUGCAAGCGUUAUCCGGAAUGAUUGGGCGUAAAGCGUCCGCAGGUGGCAGUUCAAGUCUGCUGUCAAAGACCGGGGCUUAACUUCGGAAAGGCAGUGGAAACUGAACAGCUAGAGUAUGGUAGGGGCAGAGGGAAUUCCUGGUGUAGCGGUGAAAUGCGUAGAGAUCAGGAAGAACAUCGGUGGCGAAGGCGCUCUGCUGGACCAUAACUGACACUCAGGGACGAAAGCUAGGGGAGCGAAUGGGAUUAGAUACCCCAGUAGUCCUAGCCGUAAACGAUGGAUACUAGGUGUUGUCUGUAUCGACCCGG
rnacentral:rRNA from 1 species